rnacentral:rRNA from 1 species
UACGUAGGGCGCAAGCGUUGUCCGGAAUUAUUGGGCGUAAAGAGCUCGUAGGCGGCCUGUUGCGUCCGCUGUGAAAACCCGGGGCUUAACCCCGGGCUUGCAGUGGAUACGGGCAGGCUGGAGGCAGGCAGGGGAGAACGGAAUUCCCGGUGUAGCGGUGAAAUGCGCAGAUAUCAGGAGGAACACCGGUGGCGAAGGCGGAUCUCUGGGCCAUUACUGACGCUGAGGAGCGAAAGCGUGGGGAGCGAACAGG